rnacentral:rRNA from 1 species
UACGGAGGGUGCGAGCGUUGUCCGGAAUUACUGGGCUUAAAGAGUUCGUAGGCGGUUGUCCGCGUCGUUUGUGAAAACCAGCAGCUCAACUGCUGGCUUGCAGGCGAUACGGGCAGACUUGAGUACUGUAGGGGAUACUGGAAUUCCUGGUGUAGUGGUGAAAUGCGCAGAUAUCAGGAGGAACACCGGUGGCGAAGGCGGGUCUCUGGGCAGUAACUGACGCUGAGGAACGAAAGCGUGGGUAGCGAACAGG